rnacentral:lncRNA from 1 species
UUGUCCUUAGACUUCACAGAGCUUGACUUAGGUGAGUAGUGUACUUCUUUCUACAAUGAAAUAGACUUCACAGAGCUUGACUUAGGCCAUUGUGAUCGCUCUGAGGCGCACUGCAGCUAACAGGUUAUGAGCCCUGCGCUCUGACUGCCUCAAGACAUCCAAACUCGCCUGUCCAAACGCUCUGUGGCCUCUCCUAGCCCCCAUCCCUCUGC